UAUGUUCAUGUAUAUCAUUGUUAAAUCGCUAAUCUUGGUACAUAUUGUAUGGCUAUUAAGGUUUUAUGUAUGGGAGAGGAUUACCAAAGUUUUUGGAAUUCGUGUCCAAUCCAUUUGACAUAUUGUCAAUGAAUUAUUUUCAAAACAAAAAAAAAACUCUUCUAAGAGAGAUGUGGAGUACUUUUUUGAAUUUCCGUAUUGGAUCUUCAAAAUCUGUUCACGAUUGCUGCUCAAGGACUGUUCAAUGAAGUUCAGUUUGAUGUGAGGGUGUCCUUAAUUUUACGUCGACUUGAAGCUACAUCAGGAAUAAUGCUUACAGUUUAAGAAUCCAUUUAUUGUCCAGUUCUCUCAUGUGAGAUUACAUUUAAAAGUUUCAUCCUGAUUGUGAUAAUGGCCUUUAGAUUACUUUUGUUGAAUCCAACAGUGUCUUGGACUGCAAUGCCCUGGUCGGUGGAGAAAAAGAAAUGUACAUUCCGGGGCCCUCUAGGUGAAAUACCAGGUUCUUUUUUUUUCGAAUUUAUGCCCUGUUAUCAAAGCUACCCAUUCAUCUAUUUAAGUCCGUGGUAUGAUCCGUCUCAAGUCACAAUAUAAAGUUUAAGUUUGAAGUCGGCGAAAUGGAAAAGAUAAAGAUAUAUAAGACGUAGACUGUGAAUAUUAAAAAACAAUAUCAUCUUGCCAAUUUCAGAGAAUCCGGCAAUGACGUUUUAUUCUUCAUUAUUAUAUCGUUCUGUAAAUCAAAAAUAUUGUUCUGUAAUUGAAAUCUGUGAAAAACUAAAUCAAAAGGCAUCAUGUAUAAGCAGAUAUUGCAAAUCAUUAGAUGAAUUUGGAGUACUAUUAG